rnacentral:rRNA from 1 species
UGGGGAAUUUUGGACAAUGGGCGCAAGCCUGAUCCAGCCAUGCCGCGUGCGGGAAGAAGGCCUUCGGUGUUGAUAACCGCUUUUGUCAGGGAAGAAAUCUUCUGAGUUAAUACCUCGGGAGGAUGACGGUACCUGAAGAAUAAGCACCGGCUAACUACGUGCCAGCAGCCGCGGUAAUACGUAGGGUGCAAGCGUUAAUCGGAAUUACUGGGCGUAAAGCGUGCGCAGGCGGUUUUGUAAGACAGAGGUGAAAUCCCCGGGCUCAACCUGGGAACUGCCUUUGUGACUGCAAGGCUUGAGUGCGGCAGAGGGGGAUGGAAUUCCGCGUGUAGCAGUGAAAUGCGUAGAUAUGCGGAGGAACACCGAUGGCGAAGGCAAUCCCCUGGGCCUGCACUGACGCUCAUGCACGAAAGCGUGGGGAGCAAACAGGAUUAGAUACCCUGGUAGUCCACGCCCUAAACGAUGUCAACUGGUUGUUGGGAAGGUUCCUUCUCAGUAACGUAGCUAACGCGUGAAGUUGA